GAUGAACGCUGGCGGCGUGCUUAACACAUGCAAGUCGAACGAUGAAGCCCAGCUUGCUGGGUGGAUUAGUGGCGAACGGGUGAGUAACACGUGAGUAACCUGCCCUUGACUCUGGGAUAAGCCUGGGAAACUGGGUCUAAUACUGGAUAUGACUUCUCAUCGCAUGGUGGGGGGUGGAAAGAUUUAUUGGUCUUGGAUGGACUCGCGGCCUAUCAGCUUGUUGGUGAGGUAAUGGCUCACCAAGGCGACGACGGGUAGCCGGCCUGAGAGGGUGACCGGCCACACUGGGAAUGAGGCACGGCCCAGACGCCUACGGGAGGCAGCAGUGGGGAAUAUUGCACAAUGGGCGCAAGCCUGAUGCAGCGACGCCGCGUGAGGGAUGACGGCCUUCGGGUUGUAAACCUCUUUCAGUAGGGAAGAAGCGAGAGUGACGGUACCUGCAGAAGAAGCGCCGGCUAACUACGUG
rnacentral:rRNA from 1 species